GAUGAAGAACGUAGCGAAAUGCGAUAAGUAAUGUGAAUUGCAGAAUUCAGUGAAUCAUCGAAUCUUUGAACGCACAUUGCGCCCAUUAGUAUUCUAGUGGGCAUGCCUGUUCGAGCGUCAUUUCAACCAUCAAGCCCUAGGCUUGCGUUGGAGCCCUGCGGCUGCCGCAGGCUCCCAAAUCCAGUGGCGGGCUCGUCGUCGUACCGAGUGCAGUAAACAUCCUCGCUCAGGGAACGUGACGGGUUCUUGCCGUGAAACCCCCCACAUAUCAAGGUUGACCUCGGAUCAGGUAGGAAUACCCGCUGAACUUAAGCAUAUCAAUAAGCGGAGGA
rnacentral:misc_RNA from 1 species